CCCCUCCACACUCGAAACUUUCCAAUCCUGCAUGUUCAAAUUUCUAAAAGGACCGCACGAGAAGGAGAAAGAGGUGCUCUUAUGCCUAGAUAUCGACGGCAAUCACCAUCCUCAUCGAUCCAGCCAGAAAGCAGGCACGACGUCGGCAACGAUGGGUGAAGCCUACACCAGUAGGCUACUGAGGGUCCCACGGAUGAGGUCUCCAAGCGGUAAGGACCACGCUCCACAUCGAAGAGUGACUGUGCAAUCUGGUGGCCA
rnacentral:lncRNA from 1 species